rnacentral:rRNA from 1 species
GAUGAACGCUGGCGGCGUGCUUAACACAUGCAAGUCGAACGGGAAUUAUUUUAUUGAAACUUCGGUCGAUUUAAUUUAAUUCUAGUGGCGGACGGGUGAGUAACGCGUGGGUAACCUGCCUUAUACAGGGGGAUAACAGUCAGAAAUGGCUGCUAAUACCGCAUAAGCGCACAGAGCUGCAUGGCUCAGUGUGAAAAACUCCGGUGGUAUAAGAUGGACCCGCGUUGGAUUAGCUGGUUGGUGGGGUAACGGCCCACCAAGGCGACGAUCCAUAGCCGGCAUGAGAGGGUGAACGGCCACAUUGGGACUAAGACACGGCCCAGACUCCUACGGGAGGCAGCAGUGGGGAAUAUUGCACAAUGGGGGAAGCCCUGAUGCAGCGACGCCGCGUGAAGGAAGAAGUAUCUCGGUAUGUAAACUUCUAUCAGCAGGGAAGAUAGUGACGGUACCUGACUAAGAAGCCCCGGCUAACUACGUG